UGCCUCAAACCUCUAGUCAUGAUACUCCUGAUCCCAUGUCACCGACAGGCCCUGUGAAGGAAACCCGGCACUUUCCAAACUUUGGCAAUUUUCAUCUAUUUCGUUCAUAGGUGCCAAAUUUGUGUGUAAACAGUUAGUUCUUUUCUCUCGUGAUCCGAUGCUUCGGGCGAAACCAAUUCCCAUGGUGUGAUGGGUGGUGUGUACAGGGUCCGGGUACAUAUUCACCGUUGCAUGAUGAUCCGCGAUUACUAGCGAUUUCAACUUCAUGUUCUAAGUAUAAUAUUGUUUAUUAAUGUUGCAUAAAACCACUAACUCAAUGGCAAGAAGAAGCUGAAGCGGAAGAGGAGGAGCAGAAGAGGAGAUGUGAGUUCCAGAGCAGCCACGGCGGCGUCGAGGGAUGAGAUCCUCUCCAAGAUUGUCACCGUCGCCGGUGACGGGACUGCCCUUCUCCCCCCCGAGGCACGCACCGUCACGGAGUGCUCUCUCCAUGGCCUCAUCGCCUUCCUCGUAUCAUACUUCUGCUUCCUCUCUCAUCGACGCGUGUUCGUCCAGGCAACCCGGCCGACAUCGAUGCCUUCCUCACCGGCUCAUUCGCGCUCGCCUCUCAUCUUGGCAGCAUCAUCUCAUCCGCCACAAGAAUCAUUCAGUCGCAAGCCUCUCUGUUCAGGAUUUGUGCUGCUUGUCAGGAUUGCUCCAGAAGCAGCCACUCAAGCUCAAGAAAUCGGACGACUAACCCAUGGAUUUUGUUGCUCAACGGCUUCAUCGCUUGGACAUGGAUGCUAGUACUGACAGUGUGCCAGCAAACAGCAGGUUGAAUGAAUCACUGCGAAGUGUUCUUCUUGACAGAAUCCUCAAUCUUUAUCUCAAGGCACUUUCUCGGCUACCAAUGGAAGAUUUUUGGGCUCCUCAUCACAGGACCCUGCUCAAGGCAGGCUACUUGCUUAGGUCCAUUGAGCCCUGUUAGCAAUAUCAUCGACAACACCAUCUGGUAUGACUCUUUGUUCCUCUCAUCAGAGAAUUUCGAGGUGGAUAUUGUUGGAUAGUCAUAGUAUAGGAAGGAGAGAAAUACUAUAAAUAUUGACACGUUGUAUUGAGGCUUGGGGGUCGGUAUAUAUAGGAAUACAUGUAUUGGAUCUUAAGUAAACUCAGAGAGAUAGAGAUGGAAACUAAUCCUAUCCUACCAUAGCAAACCUUAUACAAUACGAUCUUGUCUACAUACUCUAACACCCCCCCACCCCGCAGUACAAGCGUGAGCCGUGCGGACACUUGGAUUGGAGAAGAAACCAGCAAAAAUGCUCAAUACGGAUGAUAGCCCUUUGUACCAUAGUCGACGUAGCCGAAGCGAAAAGUGCGAUGGAGCCAUGGUCGAUGAAGCUGUGCGUAGAGUAGCCAUGGUCGGUGUAGCCGAAGUUGGGAAGCUGAUGUUGAGGUAGCCGAGCCAUAGAGGUGGUAGAGCGCGCAAGGGGCGCCAAGGAGUAGUCAUGGACGCAGGGGUGGGCGUCGUGGACCAAGGUGCGUGAGGACGCUCUGGGAGGGUGCAAGAGAUUUUGAGAAAAUUGUUUGUGGGGAAUACAAACUCACAAAUCCAGCUAUUAUCAAUAGUUGGAAGAUGAAUGAUAACCAUCUAGGCCUUGUCACUGAUGACUUUAUCUAUUUGGAUGUUGCCUGGGACGUCAAGUUGAUCCAAUAUAUGAAUCAUACCGCAAGGGUGAUGAAUCUUGAUGUGAAUGAAGAAAUGAAGCGGAUAAAACCAAUGGGUAUUGUAGAAUAAGUUGGCGCUUCGAAGGAAGAAAACAAUACGAGACCACCGAUGUCGACGCGCUGCACCAGCCAGCGACGACGCCGGGUUCAUAAUCAUCAACCCUGCGGGAGCUAGCGCUCCAUCCCGGGGUCGUCGUCUAGAUCACCUUCCUGGCUUCCUCUGCUCAUUGCCGCAGCUCGGCGCCGGCGAUGUCCAAGCCGCGCGCCACCGGAGCGGCUGCGUGAGGGUCACUGUCCUCGUCCAGCACACGGUGACCAACGUGCGCGAGCAACACCGGAGAGGUUGUGAUCGAGCUUGAGGUGACAUUGGUGCCAGGAGAAUUCAGCUUCGGUCAUGCUGCCUCUCGCCUGACGGCCCGUCGAAGAAAGUGCAAUAUGAAUGAGAAAAAGAACAAGCAAUUGCAUUGUGAACAGCUACAAAUACAUAUGCAGAAAUUGUAUUACACCAAAGUUUUCUAGACUGGACCUGCCUUAUUUCUGGUGGUGGCAUGUGUGCAUGAAAAUUAUCUCAUGGUAUCCAUGAAAGGAAUUGUUUGUAUAUUCUAGGACUUGUGAUAGUAAGACCUAGUUCACUCGCAUAUAAUUGCUGUUGACUGGUGCAGUUCAAAUCAACUAUCUUAUCGGUGCACAAAUGAUGGUAAAAAAAAAAUCUAUCAGAUUAAAUGAUAAACAUGCACCAUGCCACCAUCAGAUUAAAUCAUAAGAGGAACAAAUGAUAUGUCAAGAAUAACGGAUGCAACUCAUGCACAGCAUACAAUUUCCUGACCUCACAAAGCAUGUCUACACGAUCUCAUGGAGGUGUAUCCUGAUGCGACAAUACGAGUUACAGGGUUAGUAGAUUACUGUGAAAAUAGAUGUUCUACAUGCAAUGCUACUUCUAACUGAAGGGUUAGUACAUCCGGGUCCCUUCUUGAUGAACCUUCUGCUAUAUCCAAAGGUUUCCACCAUGAAGUGCACUCAAUUCACCCUACAUCCCAUGACAGUCUUCAUAAAAAUUACCUGUGAAAAAAAACAAAUAUAAGUAAAUCUUGUAUUGGUUAGGAAUUCGGUUGUAAAAAUAUUAUAAAAAAAUAUCGCAGUUUAAACUUGUCAUCCCUAAAAAAAGCACUUGUCAAAAAUAUCUCCUACAAAAUCAUGAAGUUAAUUUCUGCAUUUUUAUAAACCUAAUAUUGGUUUUGUACAAAUACAGUGGCAGCAAGAGAAUUUCUGAAGGUCAUAUCUUUGCAAAUAAUUAGAAGGCUUCAAAAGAAGCCCUCAAGAUUGGUUUGGAAAUUUUAGUCAGUAAAAGCAAAUCUAUUCAAGCUCAAAAAAGAGCAAGAGGACCCAUCUCAGGAGGAGCAACUGCACACAGCAGUCAGGACACAACCUAGCUAUUUACUAGUGAUCUAGUCUUGUAGCUAUCAAUAAUCACCAUAAUGAGAUCUCAUCAUUGUGUUGUCUCAACUAAUUACAUAGUUAAACAGAAAUAAUUCUUGAAUUAUAUCACUGUUGGCGUAAAUAAUUAAGAAACAUGAACAGAAAUGAAAUGUAUACAAAUUUAUAAUCAACGUUGAUCGGAAAAUAAAUCCAUGUCAUAAGAAACAUCUAGCCAAAUUUCUCGUUGGUUCAAUUUAGCUAGAAUUAAAUUAAUAAGUAGUCAUAAACAAUUAAAAUGGUACUAAUACUAUUUCUGAAAAUAAAAAAAAACUUAAAAUUACUGAGAGAGAGAACAUUGAUUUUAGCCCGGCCCAAACUUGUGGCUUCUGCUAGGUACGUGCGGCCCAUUUGGCGGCGCCCUACCCCACC